UAAUAUUUAUGACAAUUUAACUUCCAUGGCUCCCUGCCCCCCCCAAAGAAUCCUGGGAAUUGUAGUUUUGGAAGGGUGCUAAGAAUUCUAGCCACUAUACACAUAAUAUCAUUAGUGCCAGAUUUAGUUACGUCUCUGAAGUUUAAGAACUUUCAGUCUGGCCAGUAUCUGGAUGGGUGAUUGCCUAGGAACCUUAUCUAAGCAUGCUACCUUUCCUGGUAUUUAUUUUCUCUAUGGUUCUGUCCUAGAGGUAGAUUUUUCAAGUACUUUUGUUGUUGGUCCUUCUACCCAUACACCACAUUUUAUCAGAUACUCUGCUAUUGUCACCCAUCUGUAAAAGCUUAGAAACUCCUAGGAAGAAAUAUCUCACAAUCCUAAUAUGUGAAGAAACCUUUAGCUUCACAUGAUAAUGAUUUUUCAUCUCCAUAGCAUCUCAAACAACUUACCCCAAAACUUAACACUUUUAUGUGUGUGUGUGUGUGUGUGUGUGUGUGUGACUUCACAGUGAGCUGAUCUUACAUGCAGAUAUCUGUACAAAUGGCUGUUUGAAAUGUUUUUCCAGUGUUAAAACAACCAAGAAUUUUAUGACACCUUAAAGACUAGCACAUAUAUUGUGGCAUAAGGAUGUAUCUGAUGAAAUAACCUCUGGUCCAUUGAAGCUGGCAUGACAAUAUAUUUGUUAUUCUUUAAGGUGUCAGAAAAACAGAUAGCAUUCUGGGACUUCUUUAGUCAGUGAACCUGAACCAUGCAUGAAUUUUUCUUAUGAACUGGACACCACUCCAUAGUGUUUUUUGGAAGGGGAACCAUUAUGUGUACGGCUUAUUUACAUAAUACGAUAUAGUACCAGUCAAGCAAAUUGAUGAGCUACAGAUCAUCACAAAAAGUCUGGUACCAAUGAGUGUCUAGGAAUGCAAACCACGGAGCAGUGCUUCUAUGCAUGAUCCAGUGAAAUGAAUGGACUCUUAAGUGUGACCGGUGCUCCAAUCCACGGGUAUAUCGAUUGUGCUUUAAAUUGCAGUGACACCAGUUUCUACUUGCAAUUCUGCAACGUAAGUCAACUCAUUGGGUGUUCCAUCUUUGCUUCUUCUGUACAGUGCACCAGGCAGCAAAAUGCUUUUGUGUGUGUGUCAAAAGUAAACCACUUCAUUUCUGUAACUUUUCUAUUCGUGCUAACUUGAGUGUGUUGUCGGCUCAGGAAAAGGGAGCAAGGCAGGAUCAUGAUCAUUCUUUAGCCCAGGGAGAAGAUCGUCUUUCCUGCCUUCCAGAGAUAGAACCUCGUUUCUUACCCUGCAUCACCUAGAAGAGAUAGAGAUGUGUUUUAUAUUGAAUCAAAACUAUGCUGCACCUUGCCCUGGGCCUUCUAGUCACCAGCUCAACAAAUCUCAGGCAGGCAUCCUUCUCAGUUUAGCACCCGAGAUCUUGAAUGGGAGAUGCUAUAGACUAGUCUUCCUCAACAUGAUGCCCUCCAGCUGUUAGACUGCAAGUCUCAUCUUCCCUGACUAUUGGUCAUGCAGACUGGGACCAAUGGGAGUCAGAAUCCAAAAUGUCUAGACAGCACCAGGUUGGGAAUACUGCUGUAGACCAAAUCGGAGGCAUUAAGUGUUGAUUUAAAGCAGAGCCUCGUGCCCAGCGGAAGGAUGAGGAAAAUGUGUUACAUACUCUAUAUUGCUUUAUUUACAGUUCAAAGCUGGUAUAUUACAGAAAGACAUCUUGCCUCUGCAAGAGCAGAAAAUGCAUCCUCUCUCCUCCACAGCUUGGAGAGAAUCACAGUGAAAAACAGGAAACCAGUGUACGUCACAUCCAGUCUCCCUUUCCCGUGAGAAACUCCAACAGUACAGACUGUGGAAUGUAAAACAAUGUCUUGUGACUGCAGUUGCUGCUCAGUGAGGGAAAUAGAAACCAACAUCCUCCCCCUUUCUGUGAACAUCACUGGGCAGCGUGUUUGCACAAUAUCAGUACAAACCCAACUUCUGCACAUAGGUACAGUGUUGAUCCCUUGAUACAAUCUUGGACAAUACAUCAGCAGGAAUUUCAUUACCUGGCAUAUAGGACACCGUUACAAGUCCCUUCUGAAUACAUUCCCUAGCAUGCUGCAACUUUAAUUGCAAGUGCUUUGUGCUUUGCUUACAACCUUCAGACUUGAGCAAAGCCAAACAUGCUUUGUUGUCCUGGUAAACCUGGAUUGGACAUUUGACAGGAAUUUUCAUAUCUUUGCACAAUUGUACUAACCAUUCACAAUCUUUAAGUGAAUAAGACAGUGCAUUCAGUUCAGCUUCACAAGUACUUAAGCUAACUGUUGUUUGCUUCUUGCAUGACCAAUCAAACAGACUCUGAUUGUACAUGUAGCAAACUCCAGACGUACUUUUCCUGUCUGUAGUGUCACUUCCAAAACUUGCAUCUGCAAAUAUCUCAAGACCACCAGACUUCUGAUUGUUAAAUCUCAGUCUGUAAUGCAUAGUGCCUUUCAAAUACCGCGCUAUGCGUUUCAGAGCUUUCCAAUCCUUGACACUAGGAUUGUUGACUUGUCUGCUUAGCAAAUUACAGCUAACAGCAAUGUCUGGUCUUGAACAUCUGGCAAUGAAGUUUAGCUUGCCUAGCACACUCCUGUACAGUGUAGUGUCAGAAAAUGCUUCUUCAGUGUCAUCUACCUGAUAACCUGUUGUCAUCGGUGUGUCUACAGGGUUAGCAUCCAUCAGAUUUAGUUUGCUUAACACAUCAGCAAUUUUCCGUGACUGGUGUACUAGAAUGUUACCAUCUUGAUCUCUCUCUAUUUCCAGAGAUAGGUAGUUGUUUACCUCACCAAGAUCUUUCAUGUCAAAGUGCUCUUUCAGUUGAGCUAGGGCGCUAUUGUACAUUGCGACAUCUUUCCAAAAGAAUAAUAAAUCAUCAACAUAAAACAAACAGUACAGUUUCUUUUGCCCCUCCUCUUUGAUAAAUACACAUGGAUCAGCUUUCCCUUGCUGAAAACCUAGAGAAAACAAUACUUCAGUGAGUUUUGUGUGCCAACACCGUGCACUUUGUUUGAGACCAUAAAGGGAUUUCUUCAGAGCACAAACAAAUCCCUGUUUUACCUUUACGCCAUCAGGUGGAAGCAUAUAAAGUGAUUCAUCUAGAGAUCCGUACAGAAAAGCUGUAUUAAUAUCAUGGUGACUAAUGUGUAGAUUUUCCUCUGCAGCUAGCUUGAGCAUAAGCCUAAUGCUUUCAUAUCUCACUGUGGGUGAAUAGGUCUCGUGAUAGUCUUCACCUGGUACCUGUGCAAAACCUCUGGCUACCAAUCUGGCUUUGUGUCUGACUAUCUUGCCAUUUUGAUCUGUCUUCGCUUUGAAGACCCAUUUGCUUCCAAGCAGUUUCAUUCCUGGAACUACUGGAACUAGCUCCCAUGUUUUGUUCCUUUCUAAGGAAUCAAGCUCAGCCUUCAUGGCAUUUAACCAUGGCUCAGCUUCCUUUGAAUCCAAACCCUGGAUUUCUUGGAAACUUGAAGGUUCAAAUACCUUCUUGGAGCUUUUAACAGCUGUUACUGCUAUCUUAGCAAACUCAUCAGCAAAUCUCUUUGGAGGUUUGCCUUUUGUGGCUCUCUGUGACCUACGAAUUAUCCUUAAGUCUUCAACACUCUCCUCUUCCUUCUUAGGAGAAAAACGACCUAUUGUGAACAAUGGUUCCUCCAAUUCUUGAUCAGAGCUUUCAGAGGGUCGCAUAGAGGCUUUCGCACUCUUGAAAUCCUCUGAAUCACCCGAUUCAGUUUCAGAUUCAGACUCAGAACCUUCAUCAGUGGGUGUGGGUUGUUGUGGUUGCUUUUGACUAUCCUCAGUCUCAUCACCGUCAUCAGGAUAACAUUGGAAAAUUCCCACAUUCUCCCCCACUUUGCAUUGUACUCGACACUUCUCGUGAGCUUAAUUGUCUUAGAGUCAGUCAUCAUUAUUCUGUAAGACCCUUUCUGAUAACCUAGAAAGAUACCAUGCAAUCCACGCUUGUCUAACUUGGAGUUUUGGGGUGAGCGAACCCACAUGUCAGAACCAAAAAUCUUCAUGUGUUUGAUGUAUGGCUUCUUGCCAAACAUCUUUUCAUAGGGGGUACAAUCAAUCGCUGAAGAUAACCUGCGAUUGUAACUGUAAACAAAACACGAGAGAGAUUCGGCCCAAUAACUCUCUGGAAGAUUGGCAUCAUGCAGCAAGGUUUUUAGUCCUUGAAGCAAUGUUUGAUUUGCCCGUUCCGCAAGUCCAUUCUGCCAUGGCGAGCGAGGACUAGACAAAUCGUGUUGAAUUCCUUUCUCAGUCAGAAAAGCUUCAAACUGCUGAGAAGUGAAUUCCCCGCGAUCACUGAAAAGAGUCUUUAUCUUCUUACCAUGCACAUUUUCCAACCAAGCACAGAAUUCCUUGAACCUAGGAAAAGCCUCCGAUUUCUGCUUGAGAUUGUACACAAAAAUAUAUCUAGAAAAUGCAUCAAUGAGAACCAUGAAGUAUCUAUUUCCACCCAAAGAGGGCGAUAGUGGUCCAACCAAAUCAGCAUGAAUAACCUGGUAUGGUUCUGUAGCUUUCCUACUAGACACCUUACCUUUCGCAGCCAUUUUCACCUUGUUUGCUGCGCAUGCUUUGCACUUCAUGUGGUACCUGCAGGGUUUAAUAGUCAUACCUUCAACCAAGGCAGGCAUUUUAGAUACUGCCUCAAAAUGCAAAUGACCAAAUUUGCGAUGAAAAUCGUGAAUACAUUCUGCAUGCAAACUUUUGUUAGAACCUGCAAUGCAACAAGUGUCAUCCUGCACCAUAUCAUCAUAAUACAAAACAAACAAACGAUCAACAUAUUCUGCAUGCAAUACAUAAUCAUUUUUCUUUGUGAUGAUGCACUUCUUGUUCUUGAAGGAAACGUCAAUGUUCCGCUCAUUCAGCUGUCCAACGCUGAGCAGAUUAUGUUUGGCGUCUGGCACGUAAAGCACAUUCUGUAUCGAUAAGUCCAAACUGUGAAGAACAACAGUUCCGUAGCCUUUACUGGGAAUAAUGUGGUCAUCCGCCUGGUGAAUCGCACCUUCCUGCGGUGUAAAAGACACAAACAGUUUCUUAUCGUUGCACAUGUGGUGGGUGGCCGCUGAAUCAACAACGAAGAAAGAUCUAGACGUCUUCUGGACCUCUGCAACCUUUGGAGUGAAGCGUGAAACCAUAGCCUUGUGCUGCGUUGUCCUAGACACCGGACCUUUGCCUUUGCCUCGGCCUUUUCCGCGCGAUGAGCUUUCGCUGCGCUGCUCUGUCUUGGCCCUGGGAUGUCUGCAUUCCCUCUUCAUAUGGCCUAGACGUCCACGCGAGUAGCAUUUCACUGCCUUCAAAGCUUUGGCGCCAUCUGGUGGUUCCACUGCACUAUGGGAUGACGUCUGUGAAGACUCCCCCCUUGCCCAUGCAGCUAGCACCCCGGCGAUCUGCUUCAUUUAAAAUCACGGCAGUAACAAAGUCCACUGUCAGCUGAGCAGUUGGUUGCACAGCAAUCUGGGUUGCAACAGACUCCCAACCUGAACCCAAAGAUUGUAGUAUCAUGAAAGAAUACACAGCCUCUGGAAAGUUGAGUCCUCUCUGUUGCAGCUCAUGUCUCAGAUUUUGCAUCUCCAUCAGAUGUAAACGUACAUCUCCACCUUCAGCAAGAGCCAUAUUAUGCAGCUUGUUAAAGUAAUACAUAGUAGAUCCAGCUUCUGUCCUUAAGUGAGCCUCUCUCAGAGCGUCCCAAAUUUCUCUGGCUGAGGUCUUAUCACGCAAUAGACAGAGCUCUUCUGGGGAUACUAUCAAUGUAAGAGUUCCCCUUGCUUUGGAAUCCUUAGCUUCCCAUGCAUCUGUAACUGGAACUGGGGGGGUUGCUGUAAUCACCUCAAACAAACCCUCUUUCCGCAGAAUUGCCUCUGCAUACUGAACCCAGUCACUGUAAUUCUUCUUGUUGAGCUUAGGAAUCCCACAAGCAUCCUGAAGGGCCAUCAUGACUCUGGCAUUAGCCUUCAGCGUCAUUAUAUGCUGCUUUAAAUCUUGCUGCGUCACUGCUGCAGCUGCCUCAUUACAAAGGCACACUUAAAAGUUACUUUCGAUUUCCCCAGCAUAGUGACUUGUGCCUGGGAGCCUUUUGCCUAUUUGCAAAACCGGCUUUAAAAGUUCAAAGUCCAGCCAUAAAGCCAUUAUCUUGAAGCUGGCAGGCUGCCCGGAGCAGUAGCACAUACCUCAUCAAUCACUUCUUCGCGCAGAGCAGAUUCCUUUCCGAUCCGUCCCUCUGCAUUCCGAUCCUUUGCCGGCACUCCGAUUCGACCUCUGGGCCCAUAACCACGUGUUGAUUUAAAGCAGAGCCUCGUGCCCAGCGGAAGGAUGAGGAAAAUGUGUUACAUACUCUAUAUUGCUUUAUUUACAGUUCAAAGCUGGUAUAUUACAGAAAGACAUCUUGCCUCUGCAAGAGCAGAAAAAUGCAUCCUCUCUCCUCCACAGCUUGGAGAGAAUCACAGUGAAAAACAGGAAACCAGUGUACGUCACAUCCAGUCUCCCUUUCCCGUGAGAAACUCCAACAGUACAGACUGUGGAAUGUAAAACAAUGUCUUGUGACUGCAGUUGCUGCUCAGUGAGGGAAAUAGAAACCAACAUUAAGAUGGAGCUAUGGCCCUUCUUUCCAAGUUACCUUAUCAUCUCAUCUCAUCCUACCUGACAAGACACAUGAUCAAUGGAGCUUACUGGUGGUAGUAAAUAGUUGGGACAGAGCAUUUCCACGUGUUAGAGAGAUUCUCUGGGUCCCUUCAGAGAGCAAUUAAAGCACAUUCAGCACAGAUUUAAAGCACAUGGCUUCCCUCAACAAACCCUGGGAACUGGAGUUUUGCCCUCAUGGAGCUUUAAUUCCCAGCACCCCUAAGAAACUACAGGUUCCAGGAUUCAUCGAGGGAAGCUGUGGGCUUUAAAUGCAUGGCGGGGAUCUGCCAGUGGAUCUGUUAAUGUAUAGAAAGAUUGGCUACAUGCAGACAUGUGUUCCUAGAAGGCCCUGCAUAGUUCAAGGAACGGGUUUCGUAAAACAACACAGGUGGCUGAAGCAAGUGUACAUCGUUCCCAGCUUUCCUUGGCAAUCAUGGUCCUUUGACAAUGGACUACUAGGACACAGGCUUCAUAUUUCCUGCUACCCCACCCCUUUUUUGAUGUUUUAGCUUGGGCACUUAUAAACACCCCAUACUGUAGGGACCAUUUCCAUCACACUGUCCUAGGGUGUGUGGUUUUGAACUAUGUUUGUAGAAGCUGGGCUCAUUUUAGCUUAAAAAGUGUGGGCCCAAACAGAUGCCUCAGUACAUGUGCGAGAUAUGGCAGUUUGUACCUUAUCUUAGGCAGAUUUUGUGUCCUGGACUUUUUAAAGCUUUCUGGCGGCAUACAGAGAAAUGCUGAGCAGCCUAACUCAUUCACAAGAUAGAGUUGCCAUAUUUCAAAAAGUAAAAAUCCAGACACAAAAGUUACGUUUUUGAGCUGUUUUUAAGGAAAAUCGGCAAAAACGACACUGCCAACAUGGGUUGCCAUAUGUCCGGAUUUUGCCAAUUUCCACCCAGACACUGCCUCUGAAUGCAAUAUUCCAGGUAUGUCCAGGAAAUUCCAGACAUUUGGCAACCCUGUCAUGAGACUGUUGUCUUUUUGAAGAGCUGCACUUUUUAAAAGAAAAAGAUAGAAAGAAGAAUCCUCUGCGUGCUCAUUUAAUGUCACUGUGGUAUUUUUGUAAAUGGCUUUUUUUAAUUAAAAAAAAUGCAUAUAUUUUUAUUCUAAUAAAUGCCUUCCUGUUUG